ACCCCUCCGCAGCGAAACUCAGUCACCUGUUCUUCACGAGAUCAAACGCGAGAAAAAAGUCUUUUGCGGGAUCUUUACCUGGAUAGUGAUGAAAGGUAUGUUGGUCGACAAGCCACUAAACUCAUAGUUUCCUCUUUUGAUCAGCUUGGAGAACCACGGCCGGGGCUGGGAGUAAUCGAGCUCUUCCAGGGAGAUGUUUGCAUCAGCGACGCAGAACUCAACGCCGGUUCCGCUGCAAGAGAUCAUAGGUCUGUCUCCCUCGUUUUGGAUCUCUAGCCUUCCAGCUAAGGGAUAGAAGGCCAAGCACGCCUUCAUCCUCUCAAUCAAGCUCUCGUUACUGCUACUGCUACCGCCUUUGGAUUCGAAGAAGCAAACGCGCUGGAGGUAAGGCAUGCUGCUUCUCUUUUGCAUUAUGUCGAAAGCCGUGAAUGGAAGCUUGGAGCAAUGACCAUC
rnacentral:lncRNA from 1 species